ACUGCCUUGUUCAGGGAACAGUGGGUUAACUGCCUUGUUCAGGGGAACAGUAGGUUAACUGCCUUGUUCAGGGGAACAGUGGGUUAACUGCCACGCUCAGGGGAACAGUGGGUUAACUGCCACGCUCAGGGGAACAGUGGGUUAACUGCCUUGUUCAGGGGAACAGUGGGUUAACUGCCUUGUUCAGGGGAACAGUGGGUUAACUGCCACGCUCAGGGGAACAGUGGGUUAACUGCCUUGUUCAGGGGAACAGUGGGUUAACUGCCUUGUUCAGGGGAAUAGUGGGUUAACUGCCUUCUCCCAGGUGAGUCAGUCUACAGGUAGAGAUAGAGGUCUCUUCUCCAGGUGAGUUAUCUACAGGUAGAGAUAGAGGUCUCUUCUCCAGGUGAGUCAGUCUACAGGUAGAGAUAGAGGUGUCUUCUCCAGGUGAGUCAGUCUACAGGUAGAGAUAGAGGUCUCUUCUCCAGGUGAGUCAGUCUACAGGUAGAGAUAGAGGUGUCUUCUCCAGGUGAGUCAGUCUACAGGUAGAGAUAGAGGUCUCUUCUCCAGGUGAGUCAGUCUACAGGUAGAGAUAGAGGUGUCUUCUCCAGGUGAGUCAGUCUACAGGUAGAGAUAGAGGUCUCUUCUCCAGGUGAGUCAGUCUACAGGUAGAGAUAGAGGUGUCUUCUCCAGGUGAGUCAGUCUACAGGUAGAGAUAGAGGUCUCUUCUCCAGGUGAGUCAGUCUACAGGUAGAGAUAGAGGUCUCUUCUCCAGGUGAGUCAGUCUACAGGUAGAGAUAGAGGUGUCUUCUCCAGGUGAGUCAGUCUACAGGUAGAGAUAGAGGUCUCUUCUCCAGGUGAGUCAGUCUACAGGUAGAGAUAGAGGUGUCUUCUCCAGGUGAGUCAGUCUACAGGUAGAGAUAGAGGUCUCUUCUCCAGGUGAGUCAGUCUACAGGUAGAGAUAGAGGUGUCUUCUCCAGGUGAGUCAGUCUACAGGUAGAGAUAGAGGUCUCUUCUCCAGGUGAGUCAGUCUACAGGUAGAGAUAGAGGUGUCUUCUCCAGGUGAGUCAGUCUACAGGUAGAGAUAGAGGUCUCUUCUCCAGGUGAGUCAGUCUACAGGUAGAGAUAGAGGUGUCUUCUCCAGGUGAGUCAGUCUACAGGUAGAGAUAGAGGUCUCUUCUCCAGGUGAGUCAGUCUACAGGUAGAGAUAGAGGUCUCUUUUCCAGGUGACUCCUCCUCCUCUCCAUCAGGGGAAGAUGGAGCUGAUGGGGCAGUGGUUGAGUCUUUAUUUUCUUUCCCUCCUUCCCUCACUCUCUCACUCUCUCCUUCCCUCACUUCUUCCCUCACUCCUUCCCUCACUCCUUUCCUAACUCCCUCUGACACAAGUACAAUCUUGCUUUAGCUGCUGCUGCUAUCGACUUCGAUGACGAUGACGGUGAGGAAGAUGGCAGGGCUGUACGGAGUGCUUGGCAGGCCAGUCCCUCUCCACAGUCACAGCGUUGGAACAGCUCCUGUCCUUUCCUGCCGUGCCGCGUACACACCUCCCCGUGCCUCAGCACGGGCUUACAGAUCCUGUCCCAGAA